rnacentral:rRNA from 1 species
CCUACGGGCGGCAGCAGUGAGGAAUAUUGGUCAAUGGACGAGAGUCUGAACCAGCCAAGUAGCGUGAAGGAUGACUGCCCUAUGGGUUGUAAACUUCUUUUAUAUGGGAAUAAAACGUUCCACGUGUGGGAUUUUGUAUGUACCAUAUGAAUAAGGAUCGGCUAACUCCGUGCCAGCAGCCGCGGUAAUACGGAGGAUCCGAGCGUUAUCCGGAUUUAUUGGGUUUAAAGGGAGCGUAGGUGGAUUGUUAAGUUAGUUGUGAAAGUUUGGGGCUCAACCGUAAAAUUGCAGUUGAAACUGGCAGUCUUGAGUACAGUAGAGGUAGGCGGAAUUCGUGGUGUAGCGGUGAAAUGCUUAGAUAUCACGAAGAACUCCGAUUGCGAAGGCAGUUCACUGGACUGCAACUGACACUGAGGCUCGAAAGUGUGGGUAUCAAACAGGAUUAGAUACCCCAGUAGUC